rnacentral:rRNA from 1 species
GUGGGGAAUCUUGCGCAAUGGGCGAAAGCCUGACGCAGCCAUGCCGCGUGAAUGAUGAAGGUCUUAGGAUUGUAAAAUUCUUUCACCGGGGACGAUAAUGACGGUACCCGGAGAAGAAGCCCCGGCUAACUUCGUGCCAGCAGCCGCGGUAAUACGAAGGGGGCUAGCGUUGCUCGGAAUUACUGGGCGUAAAGGGCGCGUAGGCGGACAGUUUAGUCAGAGGUGAAAGCACAGGGCUCAACCUUGGAAUUGCCUUUGAUACUGGCUGUCUUGAGUACAGGAGAGGUGAGUGGAACUCCGAGUGUAGAGGUAAAAUUCGUAGAUAUUCGGAAGAACAGAAGUAGCGAAAGCGACACACUGGCCCGUUACUGACGCUGAGGCGCGAAAGCGUGGGGAGCAAACAGGAUUAGAAACCCGAGUAGUCC